CACAGAUCACAUGUCUCUUGUCUUACUGUGCAGGGAGAAAGAUUUUAAAGAGUUUGGUCAUGCUAAUGUGUUCUCUGAAUUACUGGCAGACUUGAAAGAAUUGGAGGACAGUGGGAUUGUUGCAUCAGAUGAAACUAGAGUCAAAGGAACUUUGUUUUGCAUUGCUGGUGAUAAUCUGGGUUCUCACUGUAUUGGUGGCUUCACUGAAAACUUUAGUUCUUCAAAGUACUUCUGCAGGUACUGCCUGAUAACGAAAUCUGAAUUUCAGGGUGCUGACCCAAAUCUGUGUGGACCAGAACGUACCAAAGAGAACUACAACUCUGCUGUUGAUCGCCUCCAGAUUGACAAUACACCAGACGUCGAAGGAGUGAAGUUCAGACACUGAAUUUGAGCAGAAACCAUAAGGAUACUCAAAGGACCUGUGACUCUCAGGAAAUGCAUCAAAUGAGAGGGACAGAUGAAACAGUUUCAAGACAAUGGCAGGAAAAACAUGCUGAAGAUUGAAACAAACCUUGGCUGGAAAUAUUUGAAGGUAUCUAGCCAGUCCACAAUGAAAGCUUCGUUGCACCCCAUGAGUCUUCUGGCAGAAAUGAUGGCGCCUGUAUUCUUUGGUUUCCCUAAACAUCACACCCUGCCUGUUUAUACGAGGCUCUUCAAUUAAGUCUGCACCCAAAGAUUCAAUAAGAGGUAAGCAGUGGUAUUAUUCAAGUUUUGCUAAAGAAAGAUGGACAGGAGACACUAAUCUUAAUCAGCCGAGCUCAGGUUCAUGUCCAGGUGAGCAGUUUCAUACGCUAUAAAAUGUAGAUUGAAUGAUAGGUCUCAU